GCGCUGGUGCAGGGCGGGGUGGCCUGGCCGUGGCUGUCGGCCCCGUCCCUGGCCCUGUUCGCCGCGGGGCUCGCGCUC
rnacentral:tRNA from 1 species